GACAGAGGUGCCGAGCGUUAGGCGGAAUCACUGGGCUUAAAGCGUGUGUAGGCGGGCGGGCAAGUACCUUGUGAAAUCCCACGGCUCAACCGUGGAACGGCUGGGUAUACUGCCUGUCUUGAGCCAACUAGGGGCGAGCGGAACAGACGGUGGAGCGGUGAAAUGCGUAGAUAUCGUCUGGACGCCAAAGGUGAAAACAGCUCGUGGGGU
rnacentral:rRNA from 1 species